rnacentral:rRNA from 1 species
CAAUAGCGUAUAUUAAAGUUGUUGCAGUUAAAAAGCUCGUAGUUGGAUUUCUGGUAGGAGUGACCGUUCCGAACUUGAUUGUUCGUGUAUUGUGUUUUCUCCAGCCAUCCUUGUGGAGAACUUUUCUUGCAUUAAUUUGUAGGGAUUGGGACCCGCAUCGUUUACUGUGAAAAAAUUAGAGUGUUUAAAGCAGGCAAUCGCUUGAAUACAUUAGCAUGGAAUAAUAAGAUAGGACUUUGGUACUAUUUUGUUGGUUUGCAUACCAAAUUAAUGAUCAACAGGAACAGUUUGAGGAUAUUCGUAUGAACAUGUCAGAGGUGAGAUUCUUGGAUUUUGAUCAGACGAACUACUGCGAAAGCAUUUAUCAAGGAUGUUUUCAUUAA